UCAAAGUUACAAUAUAUAUAAUCUGGAUAUUCGUUCUUACAAAUCAAAUUUAUGGCAAACAAGAACUCGCAAAAGAUUUUUCAGUAGAACUUCCUGCUGCUUGUAUUGAACCAAGAAAUGAUGAAGCUAAUAAUUGUGCUAUAAAUCAUUCAUUUCGAUACAUAAGAGAUAACGAUACAUGUGUAGCUGUUACAGACAAACAUUGCAGAGGUCGUAAUCGUUUUCACAUGAAAUCAGAGUGUCUUUGGCGAUGCUCUAAAGUUAUCAAUAGAAAUCAUAAUAGAAAAAGCAAUAUCGAGAUGGAAAAGAUUACUAGAAUUUGUCACAAGAAAGAACAUACAACCACAGAAAAACCCAACAAAAAAGCUGAAACCAAAUUUACAACAAAAACUACCAAAGUACCGAAUGUAACAAAAGAAACAUUCUACAAUCCAUGUAAGGAUAGACCAACUGACUGUUUCAGAACUACUGCUGCAUUCAGAUUUGAUGAAAAAUCAAACGAAUGCGUACCGAUAGUGGACAACAAUUGCAGAGGUGCUAAUAGAUUCACAUUAAAAUCAGAAUGUGAGUUUGUCUGUAAGGAAUCAUAAUAUUUACUAAGGUGUGCUUGAUACUUCCACUUAUUUGUCAUCAGAAACAUAUCUCUUGUAAAACUAUUUAAAUAUUUUGAGCAAAUAAAAGACA